AGGAGACUGUUUAGGCCAUGCCUGGCAUCAGUAACUCAGGCUGUUUCCCACACUACAGGCCAGCACUGUGGGCUCUCAGUUUAUUGGGAAAUGGAAAUAAGAGGGAAGGACAAAAGUCCACUGGGAAGCAGACUGGACAGAAAGGAACUCUGAGCAGCUAAACUCUGACUAAUCCCAGGGUAUACCUGCGUUUUCUCUUCACCAGAUUUUUCCUACCAGGAAGAGCAUGUGCUGACCAACAGACAUGAAUUUCAGCCUGGUAGUUACAACAUUCACAGUAUACCCACAUCACUAAGCUGGGAGGCACAUUUUGAGACCCAGAAUCCUGACACCUCCAUGCCUUCAAAAGGACAAACUGCGGCCUGGACCAGCUGGUGAAACAUAAUUCUGAAUCCUGCCCACAGCCUUCGGUGGUUUUGGAUGAAAGGCCAGCGCCUUGGGAGCCCUGCGUUUGAUUUCAAGUUUUAAGGCCGGCACUGGUGGAGCAAUGAAUGGUGAAAGCUCUCCCCUUAAAGGAGCACAGUU
rnacentral:lncRNA from 1 species